UCUAUCAAGAAAAACAAAAGACAAUUCCUUAAUUGCACUAUUAACGCAAAUCUGCUCAAUUACAAACCCAUACCAAACUAUUUACUAACAUGAUUUAACAGGAACAAGAUACUAAAAAAUGAUAACAUUUUCAGAGACAAUGUUUCUUUAGCUCUAAGUCCUAGAUUUUGCUACUUAUGUUUUCAAAGUAACAUACAUCUCAAUUCCGUAUGUGUGUAAAGGGUCCUCACUGUCUACGCCAUGCGGCAGUCAUUCCACGGUUUUGGAAUUCGUUCAGUCACGUGAGGGAAAUGGACCCAAGAACCCAUGGGUCAUUUCUGAACACAAUGUUUCUGGUCAUAAAACGACAAAUCCGAUUCACCCAGAAACAAAAGAACAAAACCACCACAGUUCUAGUUUAAGAGCUGUAAAAACACAUUUAAUCCUUUGUCCUAAUGAAAGUCUUAAGCAACUUUUUUGACAACCAGAUCACUAUUUUACCUUCUGUUGCAGGAACCUCCAACUGGCUCGGCUCAGCUGAUUCUGAAAGGAAACACGUCAAGAUUCACUUAACACUGCUCAAAAGUUGCUUUCAAUUAUUUGAAGAGAACAGAGGGAGGAAAACAAGAGAAAGCUCUUCAAACCGUGUACAUAAGUCACAAGUCUAAGAUGAAAACAACAGCCACAGACUCGCGGGAUAAGCACAAUUACUCAACUAGACUUUCAAAACUCCCCUCUUCUGAAAUGUGGAAUUUAAAAACCAUAGUACAUCCAUUUCCACCCGACACAAUUUGGCUUUCAACUACCAGUAUAAGCAAAUGGCAUGAAGAAUAAAGUUAAAAAAGACCUUCUCACUGAAAAACUCCAUUGUACGCCAAUGAUCUCAGGGUGCCUGACCUUGUACCCACCCUGGGACAGUGGGAUCAAGUGGGACGCAGCCCACAGUUCUCAGUGAGGACCUACGAGCUGAGCUUCUCUGGGCUUUCAACCACAGGAGUCGCAGAUGCCAAGUCUAAGCGUGCGCACACGCGUGCGCUGCGGACUGACUCUGCCAAGUCAGAUGAACGUCAGCAUGUGAAGCCACACAGUUUUAUCUGACCUAUUUUACUGAGAAAAGCAGGACAGUCCUGUUUUAUCCUCCUUCAUUUACCUUGUAUCACUGGGCCUUCUGACUCACUCUGAUCAACCAACUCUGAAAAUAAAGCAAAUUCAUUUAAUAAUGCAAUAGCAUACUGUUACAUUCGAAAAGCAUUUUUACAUACAUUCUUUAUUUUGAUGCUCCAAUUUUGCCAUAACAGAUACUAUUUUCCUUAUGACAAGAAGGGAACAAAAAUUAAGAGUUCUGGUAGUUGCCACCAAAUAACUAAUUCAUAGUAAUUACCACAAAAUUCUACUAUAGACCUGCACAAUAAUGAGAACAAAAUUGAACAUUUUAAACAUAAAGAGGGUUAAAAAAUUAUAAUAUUCUUUGAAAGUAAAAAUUAGAAGGGAAUUAGGAUUAAUAAAAAAGUAUAGAAAAAA